UCUUUCAGGGCAGGGUGUGAUUCCCGACCGGCGGUAUAGUCCGCGAACUGCUCCUUAUGGGGCGGCCGACCCAGGUGAAACUCCGGGACCGACAGUACAGUCUGGAUGGAAGAAGAC
rnacentral:ncRNA from 1 species